UACGGAGGGUGCAAGCGUUAUCCGGAUUUACUGGGUUUAAAGGGUGCGUAGGUGGGUAGGUAAGUCAGUGGUGAAAUCUUCGAGCUUAACUCGGAAACUGCCAUUGAUACUAUCUGUCUUGAAUACUUUGGAGGUAAGCGGAAUAUGUCAUGUAGCGGUGAAAUGCUUAGAUAUGACAUAGAACACCAAUUGCGAAGGCAGCUUACUACACAGUCAUUGACACUGAGGCACGAAAGCGUGGGGAUCAAGCAGG
rnacentral:rRNA from 1 species